rfam:Methyloprofundus sedimenti strain WF1 Contig003, whole genome shotgun sequence.
AAUAUCGUGAGGUAUUGGCUGAAGGAAGUACAACGCAAAGUUGCGGGGUGACGAACAGGAACUGGAUAUAAGGUGUGACGUAUUCGAGACCAGUGGGCACGUGACCAUGAAGUCUUCCACUCACGCAAGGGAUACGUUUUAUAAAUCCAGCAUCUACGCAACGAAAGCUCUGUGC